GACGAACGCUGGCGGCGUGCCUAAUACAUGCAAGUAGAACGCUGAAGGAGGAGCUUGCUUCUCUGGAUGAGUUGCGAACGGGUGAGUAACGCGUAGGUAACCUGCCUGGUAGCGGGGGAUAACUAUUGGAAACGAUAGCUAAUACCGCAUAAGAGUAGAUGUUGCAUGACAUUUGCUUAAAAGGUGCAAUUGCAUCACUACCAGAUGGACCUGCGUUGUAUUAGCUAGUUGGUGGGGUAACGGCUCACCAAGGCGACGAUACAUAGCCGACCUGAGAGGGUGAUCAGCCACACUGAGACGGAGACACGGCCCAGACUCCUACGGGAGGCAGCCGUAGGGAAUCUUCGGCAAUAGACGGAAGUCUGACCGAGCAACGCCGCGUGAGUGAAGAAGGUUUUCGGGUCGGAGAGCUCUGUUGUAAGGGAAGAACGAGUGUGAGAGUGGAAAGUUCACACUGUGACGGUAUCUGACCAGAAAGGAACGGCUAACUACGUG
rnacentral:rRNA from 1 species